CGGAGCGUCUCUAACUGCUGUGCGCGUUGACUAUGGACUGUAAUCAGAUUCCGGUUCUCUUCCCCUGGCGAUUUCAUGUUUGACCUGGUUGAACUCAUUGGCCAUCUUGCAGUGGUUUUUGUACACUUCAAUGGACUCCUUUAGAGAGCGACACGGCAGCACCGGCUAGUGAGGAAGAAUCAUCAGACAGCCUGACAAGAGAGUUUCAAUCAAUAGAUCAAACAUAAUAUGUGGAAACAGUUGGUGAGCCGCUUGACUUUAUUCCUUUUGUGUCAGGAACUUCUUCUUUCGCAAUGACUCACGGUCCUACAGAAUAUCAUCCACACGACUAAACGCUUCAACUUCUCCCAGUUUUUCCCCUAAUGUGUGGGUGUGCAUGUUAAGUCCAAACUAUGAUUUUUUUUUUUAUGUAGGACGAUUUCAGCAUUUCAAAGAGGGACACUUUUAUCUUCCUCUAAGAGGGGAAUCUUCCUUUAAAUGCUAACAGCACUGUUCUUCUAAACACCAUAUGGUUUUGAUAAUUAAUAAUCUUAGUAUAGCCUAUUAUCAUAAAAACAAAAUCAUUUCAUGUACGUCUUUAUAGAUAGAUAAAGACGACAGACUUUUCAAAUCGACAUUAAAGUCAGCACAUCUCAUGCUUCUGCUGCACAGAGACACAUUAACUCCCUUUUGCCUAAAAAACAGUCUGAGAGUAUUUGACGUUAGUGACAAAGCCUUUUUUUUUGUAUCAGUAAUGUAUGAGGAAACUCUACAAGAAAAAGUACUGAACUGUUGUCAUGUUGUCAACGUGCAAAACCGACUGUACAUGUCAGCAUGAAACAGCAUUCACUGUCCAUUUCACUUGCGCAAUGAAACAUAUUUUUGAGUGAAACAGCAUAUUCAUAGUGGGAAAAAAUAGUAGGCAGAGACUUUUUGCCUUUCAGGAAUUGACUGGAUUGUGAAAAGUGGGAGGAUGUUCCCUGAAAAA